GGCCGACUAGCUCAGUUGGUUAGAGCGUGGUGCUAAUAUUUGCCGCUUCCGCAACAUUACGCCAAGGUCGUCGGUUCGACCCCGGCGUUGGCCA